rnacentral:rRNA from 1 species
GACGAACCGUGCGAACGUUAUUCGGAAUCACUGGGCUUAAAGCGCGUGUAGGCGGGAGGGCACGUCCGUUGCUGAAAUCCCCCGGCUCAACCGGGGAAGGGGCGCCGAUACGACCGUCCUGGAGGGACGUAGGGGGACCUGGAACUUCCGGUGGAGCGGUGAAAUGCGUUGAGAUCGGAAGGAACGCCCGUGGCGAAAGCGAGGUCCUGGACGUUUACUGACGCUGAGACGGCGAAAGCC